rnacentral:rRNA from 1 species
GACGAACGCUGGCGGCGUGCUUAACACAUGCAAGUCGAACGGACAGACAGAGAGCUUGCUCUCUUGAAGUUAGUGGCGAACGGGUGAGUAACGCGUAAUCAACCUGCCCUUCAGAGGGGGAUAACAACGGGAAACCGUUGCUAAUACCGCGUACGAUUCAUGAACGGCAUCGUUUAUGAAUGAAAGGUGGCCUCUAUGUAUAAGCUAUCGCUGAAGGAGGGGAUUGCGUCUGAUUAGCUAGUUGGAGGGGUAACGGCCCACCAAGGCAAUGAUCAGUAGCCGGUCUGAGAGGAUGAACGGCCACAUUGGGACUGAGACACGGCCCAAACUCCUACGGGAGGCAGCGGUGGGGAAUCUUCCGCAAUGGACGAAAGUCUGACGGAGCAACACCGCGUGAGUGAUGAAGGUCUUCGGAUUGUAAAGCUCUGUUAAUCGGGACGAAAGAGUUCUGCGUGAAUAAUGCAGAAAAGUGACGGUACCGGAAUAGAAAGCCACGGCUAACUACGUGCCAGCCGCCGCGGUAA